CCAUAAAAGGAGCUUGGAAUAUCUGGGUUCUGUCACACAUCUGUUGAACUCUAUAGCCCUGGAGAUAAGCCAAGGAAUGGCUGGUAUUCUCUGUGGCCCUGAGAAGGGAUUGUGCAGAAGAAGAGAAAUACAUGGCAUCAGAUGGAUGUAUAAGCUUAAGGAACUUUAACUGUCACUUAUUUAAAGGGAAUAUUAAGUGACAAGCAAAAGAUCCUAAUAACCUGGGCCUGGAGUACAGCCAGUCCCCAAGCAAUGAAAUGAUGAUCUCUGCACUAAGACUUGACUGGGCUGGACCUAUGCAGAUGAUGGAGAGGAGCAGGAUGUUUCGGCAGCUGCUGUCUGGUGAACUGAGACAGGGCAUUCACAAGCCACCAGGUUCCAGAUGCUACCAUGAUGCCAACUGGACUUCCCUGGGCAGACGACCCCACCAAUGUGUCCUGGAGCCCUGCUUCCCCAGAGCCCUGCCCCACUAGGGAAAGAGAGAGAGAGGCUGGGAGUAUGGGUCGAACUGUCAAUGCCUAUGUUCGGAGGGAAAGCAAUUACAGAAGCCAGACCUUCCACCUUCUGCACCCCAUAAUGACCUUGGUACAUGCUCCCAAAGGGUUAAAGAAUAGGAAAGCUAUGCGGGGGGAUUGGAUACAGAACUC